UCGAAGUGGAACUUGCAAGAUAUAUACAUGUAAUAUAACCAAUUUGGACAGCAAAAAAACUGCCAAAGUUUAUGUUAAAGCCAAGCUUUUUUCUGCUAACUUAGUUCAGCUACAACUUCCGUAUACAAGAGUUUAUACGUCGAUUGAGGUGAAGUUUAAUGGUAUAGAUCGUGAAAGGAAUGUUCAACGUAAAGACUGCAGUUUAUCUUCUAUUGUGACAUUUACUAUACAAGAGCAAACUAAAGGUCAAAAUUCAAUUAAAUGGUGGAUCAUUUUACUUUCAGCUGUUGGAGCAUUAUUAUUGCUUGCAGUUUUUACUUUUGUUCUGCGCAGAGUAAU
rnacentral:lncRNA from 1 species